CAGCACCGCUACAGUGUCACGACAAUGGUGGAUGACGUCACGGACUUUAGCGCCACCACAGGGAGACAAUGGGCACCACCGACCCUAAAAGGAGGCGACAGCCUGCGGCGGACC
rnacentral:lncRNA from 1 species